rnacentral:lncRNA from 1 species
AUGGACGCUGUGAGACAGCCAGGCUUCAGGCAUCUUGAAAGGAUCUUCACUAAGAAGGGUAUUGCGUGGGCAUCUCUUAGAGCCAAUUCACAAGCAGCACAGCAGAGCCUACACUUGGACACUUACAGUGACAGACAGAAGACAGUUGCUAGCCACGCAAGUACUAACACCUCUGGCUGGAAGCAGCAGAGUAGGUGGGAGACAAAGGUGAGUGAAGAAACCAG